rnacentral:rRNA from 1 species
GCCAGACUCCUACGGGAGGCAGCAGUGGGGGAUAUUGCACAAUGGGGGGAACCCUGAUGCAGCGACGCCGCGUGAAGGAAGAAGUAUCUCGGUAUGUAAACUUCUAUCAGCAGGGAAGAAAAUGACGGUACCUGAAGAAGAAGCCCCGGCUAACUACGUGCCAGCAGCCGCGGUAAUACGUAGGGGGCAAGCGUUAUCCGGAUUUACUGGGUGUAAAGGGGGCGCAGACGGCGAUGCAAGCCAGGAGUGAAAGCCCGGGGCCCAACCCCGGGACUGCUCUUGGAACUGCGUGGCUUGAGUGCAGGAGGGGCAGGCGGAAUUCCUGGUGUAGCGGUGAAAUGCGUAGAUAUCAGGAGGAACACCGGUGGCGAAGGCGGCCUGCUGGACUGCAACUGACGUUGAGGCCCGAAAGCGUGGGGAGCAAACAGGAUUAGAUACCCCUGUA